GUCGGCAGAUCAUAGUUGAUCACCAGAGAUACCUGCUGGACGUCGAUACCACGGGCAAGAAGAUCGGUAGUGAUAAGAACGCGAGACGACCCAGAUCGGAAUUCACGCAUAAUGAUAUCCCUCGUGUUCUGAUCCAUGUCACCGUGAGUUGCUGAGACGGUGUGGUCCUUGCUCCUCAUCUUGUCGGUGAGCCAAUCGACCUUGCGGCGGGUGUUGACAAAGAUGACGCUUUG
rnacentral:misc_RNA from 1 species